AUUGAACGCUGGCGGCAGGCCUAACACGUGCAAGUCGAGCGGAUGAAGGGUGCUUUUUCGUGGAUUCAGCGGCGGACGGGUGAGUAAUGCCUAGGAAUCUGCUUGGUUGUGGGGGAUAACGUCUGGAAACGGGCGCUAAUAACGCCUACGUGCUGAGGGUGAAAGUGGGGGAGCUUCGGACCUUUCGCUAUCAGAUGAGCCUAGGUCGGAUUAGCCAGUUGGUGGGGUAAAGGCCUGCUAAGGCGACGAUCCGUAACUGGUCUGAGAGGAUGGUCAGUCACACUGGAACUGAGACACGGUCCAGAGUCCUACGGGAGGCAGCAGUGGGGAAUAGUGGACAAAGGGCGGGAGCCUUAUCCAGCGGUGCCGCGUGUGAUGAGAAGGCCUUCGGAUUGUGAAGCACUUUUAGUUGGGGGGAAGCGCAGUAAGUUAAUACCUUGCUGGAUUGACGUUACCGGCAGAAGAAGCACCGGCUAACUACGUG
rnacentral:rRNA from 1 species